GCAUGGCCGAAUUCUGUUCCAGCGAGUCUGUGGUGGACACAGUCAGACACCAUGCAAAAGUCAUGUCUCAUUUCUGCUAAAUUACUGGAUGAAUGCUUCCCUCAGCCUCAUCCAGCUGUACAGGAAUGAGUACAAUA